GGCUAGCUCCGUUGGAUAGAGUGUGGUACUGAUAAUGCCAAGGUUGUAGGUUCAGUCCCCAUAAGGGACA